rnacentral:lncRNA from 1 species
GUCUAUGCAUAUUAAACAAUGGACACAGAUAAAUUCAUGACAAAAUUGUGUUUUGGUGAUGGUGAUGUGUUUGUAGUUCUUACUUUACUGAACAUUCUAGUUGCUACAAUUAUCUCUAUCUAUAAUGAACUUGGCCCAGUAUUUAUAGUGGAAAAUAUUUUGUAAAAAUUUACAAAAAUUUACAAAUAUUUUUGAAAAUUUAUGAAAAUUGUUAAAAAUUGACUAUAAAGGGCAAUAACACAUUAAGGGGUCAAUUGACAAUUUUGAUCAUGUUGACUUAUUUGUAGAUCUUACUUUGCUGAACAAUAUUGCUGUUUACAGUUUAUCUCUAUCUAUAAUAAUAUUCAAGAUAACCAAAAUCUGGGAAAAUUUCUUAAAAUUACUAAUUCGGGGGCAACAACCUAAUUACGGGUUAUCAGAUUUGUCUGAAAAUUUCAGGGCAGAUAGAUCUUGACCUGAUAAACCAUUUUACACCUUGUCAGAUUUGCUCUAAAUGCUUUGGCUUCAGAGAUAUAAGCCAAAAUCUACAUUUUACCCCUAUGUACUAUUUUUUGCCAUGGCGGCCAUGUUGGUUGGUUGGCCGGGUCAUCGGACACAUUUUUACAACUAAAUACCCCAAUGAUGAUUGUGGCCAAGUUUGGUUAAAUUUGGCCAAGUAGUUUCAGAGAAUAUUUUUUUAAAAAGAUUACUAAAAUUUUAGAAAAAUGGUUAAAAAUUGACUAUAAAGGGCAAUAACUCUUUAAGGGGUCAUUUGACCAUUUUGGUCAUGUUUGUCUUAUUUGUAGAUCUGACUUUGCUGAACGUUAUUGCUGUUUACAGUUUAUC